rnacentral:rRNA from 1 species
AGAGUUGAUCGUGCGCAGGACGACGCUGGCGGCGUGCCUAACACAUGCAAGUCGAGCGAUGAAGUUCUUCGGAACGGAUUAGCGGCGACGGGUGAGUAACACGUGGGUAACCUGCCUUGUAGAGGGGGAUAGCCUUCCGAAAGGAAGAUUAAUACCGCAUAACAUCUUUUUAUCGCAUGGUAGAAAGAUCAAAGGAGCAAUCCGCUACAAGAUGGACCCGCGGCGCAUUAGCUAGUUGGUGAGGUAACGGCUCACCAAGGCGACGAUGCGUAGCCGACCUGAGAGGGUGAUCGGCCACAUUGGAACUGAGACACGGUCCAGACUCCUACGGGAGGCAGCAGUGGGGAAUAUUGCGCAAUGGGGGGAAACCCUGACGCAGCAACGCCGCGUGAAUGAAGAAGGCCUUAGGGUUGUAAAGUUCUGUUUACGGGGACGAUAAUGACGGUACCCGUGGAGGAAGCCACGGCUAACUACGUGCCAGCCGCCGC